GAGUUUGAUCUUGGCUCAGAUUGAACGCUGGCGGCAGGCUUAACACAUGCAAGUCGAGCGGGGAAGAGUAGCUUGCUACUUUACCUAGCGGCGGACGGGUGAGUAAUGCUUAGGAAUCUGCCUAUUAGUGGGGGGACAACAUCUCGAAAGGGAUGCUAAAUACCGCAUACGUCCUACGGGAGAAAGCAGGGGACCUUCGGGCCUUGCGCUAAUAGAUGAGCCUAAGUCGGAAUUAGCUAGUUGGUAGGUAAAGGCCUACCAAGGCGACGAUCUGUAGCGGGUCUGAGAGGAUGAUCCGCCACACUGGGACUGAGACACGGCCCAGACUCCUACGGGAGGCAGCAGUGGGGAAUAGUUGGACAAUGGGGGGAACCCUAAGUCCAGCCAUGCCGCGUGUGUGAAGAAGGCCUUUUGGUGUAAAGCACUUUAAGCGAGG
rnacentral:rRNA from 1 species